rnacentral:rRNA from 1 species
CACUCUAUGCAGUGGAUGAUUCGACUCGUGGGUCGAUGGAGAACGCAGCCAUAUACGAGACGUGACGUGAAUUGCUGGACUUUGCGAACCGACCAUUCAAUAGUAUGGCUUUUGCUGUUCGUUUAGCACCA